CGCUAAAAGGCUGAAAACGACAUAAAGAAAAGCCAUCUCCAUUUUUUGCAAAGGGGAUAGACGAUUCUCAGAUUUAGCACUAAAAAAUUCCCUAAGGUUCAAUUGAACAAAGAAAAAUCAAUAGCAACAUUGCGUGUGUAAGAGAGGGAGAUCGGCUAUAUUGACAUCCUUACAGAUCUCUCUCGUUCUCGUUUUCGACCUCGCGUUAGCCAUGGGUCUUUGAGAAGCUUUGCUCAAUCGGUUUCGAAGUGCUUAGGUCCAAAAUCAGAAUUUGGAAACAGCAAAAACCCGCCAUCCCUUUCUUCUUCGUUGUAAGCUCCGAGAAGUUUCAAGUCCAAUUUGUCACUCUCACUUUCGGUCCUUUCCGAAAUAGACAAACACAGUCAUUUCUCCAUCACUCGUUCAGCGGAGUCCAGACCCGAUCAUGCCAUGAGUAUCGAUUUGAAAGCCGUAGAGGGUGUUCGUUUUUGUGGAGUUGCUAUUCAAGUUUUCCGGUCGUGUUUUGCCAUCGUCGCUCAUUUUAACUGCUGUAAUUCGCCAAAGAUUUAAUUGAAAGUUUUGACAGCUCGAGAUCAAUCCAGUUUGGAAGUUUACUGUGCAAGUAAAUCUACGUUGCUGAAAUUCUGUCGUUAAGUUUUUCUUUUCCCUUUUAAGCUUGGUUCUAGAAUUAUUCGAACCUGAACUUAUUGUUCCUGAAAAUUCUGAACACAAAGAGGGCUAAAGACAAGCUGCAAAUAUCAGUUUGUGAUCAGUUUUGAGCAGCUUUGACAGUUACAAAAACCUAAGCAAGGACUUUCUAUCAGGAGUUUCACUUGAAGGUUUCUUGGCUACAUUGAUCUAUACUAAGGUUGUCUGCUCACAUUCAUUGGUUGAGAAACCUGCCAUGUUCCUGCACUUUUAAACAGUUUCUGCUCAGCAAAAGAAAUUUGCCAUGUUUGUUGCUGCCAGUUUGGUCUAGUGUCAGUUGGUCCAGCAGGCUACAAAUGUGAACCUGUAGAGUUGUCUGCCGCACAAUUUUCUGCCUGGUUCCAAAUUUUAAAUACAUUUUGAGUUUGAUCCUGCACAGUUGCUAAGUUUCUGAACUGGGCUGCUGAAAUUUGCACAGCUGUAGAUUCUGCACUACUGCAGCCUAAGAACUGCCCUAAUUUCUGCUAUAAUUCUGCAUUGUUUUAGUUUGCUAGCUGAAGAGAAUUUGAGCUAGAAAAAUCUGUCGCUUUGGGGCUGAAGUUUGGUUACUGAAUUU